rnacentral:lncRNA from 1 species
CUCUGGAAUGGUUUUUAUACAAAGAGCUUCUAUACCCCUACUACCCCACCAAUUCCAGCAGCAGGAGACCAGCAAACAGGUUUUCUCACUCCUUGAUCCUGGAAAAAAACCUCCAGUUAACUGCAAGGUUCCAGUCAAUCAAAAACUUAUUAUGAGUAGCAGUGAAUAUUGCCAACAAUUGGUAUUUCCCAAGACCAAGGGGAUGUGUUUUUUGUGUAUGUAUGUGGGAAAUAAAUUAGGUUUUGUGGCAUCUCACUGGCACUGCCAGGCAAAGGAGUGUACAAGUAUCUCUGAGGGAAAUCCUUCAUUCUCCAGUUUGGAAAAUACCAACUGCCCAUUGAUCUCAAUCUCAAAGGCUCCGGUGCCCCCAAGCUGAACCACUUGCCAGGAGUCUGUACAAGUAUGGAUCAGCCUAGUUGACCUCUGAGGUCCUUUCCAGUCCCGAGAGUCUUGGAUUCUCUGAAAUGAAUUGGUGGGAUGGACUGAAAAGAGGCAUUUUGUAACAAGAACAAGAGAAGGAAGAAUCCAUGGCUGGACUUGUUACAUUUUGUGUAACCUUAGGGCGGUCACGUCAUCUCUCUUUGGCUUAGGUCUGCUUUGAGUCUCUGCAGUGUAUUGAUGUCCUACAGUAGUAAUUUUUAAUGUUGGAGUCUAUAAACUUAAAAGAAAUAUUUUGACAACUA